GGCUGUUCUUAUUUCUUAUAGUACAACUCUACCCAACAGCAACAACGACCAUAUCUUCUUCUCUGCUCCUCCAACUCGUUCUUGAUUAUAACUCAUCAGCCAUGAUUGAUGACACCAGACUUUAAAUAACCCUUCCCUCACGAUUGAUUCAUAUGGUGAUGAAGACAACCAAUCGACUGCGAUGAUGAUGAGUAAUGAAGACAAUAAAUAUAUCUCCAUCGAAUAUAUUCAUGGUUUAUAUGGAGAUUUCCUUUCAUAUCGAGAGCUCACUUGUUCCUUUCAGUUGGUUUAUAACUAGGUCAUCUAAUUAGGGACGGAGGGAGUAUUUUCUUUCGAGGUCCGGCAUGUGCAUUUGCACGUGUGAAAGUGAAGUGGGACAUGCGACGACCAAUGCGUGGUUUGAUUUCCCUAUGCCAACGCCAAAUAUUUGUGAUUAAUUUUACCUGCUCCGAAUAAGUUUGAACAAUUUUAUCUAUUUGAUACAUCAUUCUACACCACCAUCCGUAGAUCUUACCACUAUCAUCACCACCGUUCUUUUCCAAUUGGUUUAUACACAAAAUGUCUAUUGAAUAUUGAAGUUUGAUUUGUAAGGCUAUUGUAUCUGCUGUAUGAAUUGAAAACGUAAUUGGUAUGAAUUGAUUGAUUUUGAUUACGACCAA